CUCUCUCUCUCUCUCUCUCUCUUCAGUAGGAAAAUUGAAUUGCAAUUUGCCACUGUACAUUGAUGAGACUAAAGCUUUCAAGCCCCUCCCCACCCUUCAAAAAGUUCAAAAACUACGCGUCCUUUCCAACACUCACACUCACACGCACAACCAAACACCCCAAAACCCUAAUCUCGCUCUCUCUGGCAUCUCUCUUCAGAUUCAUGCUCAAUUUUCACAGCCGAUUACAAUCUCAACCGAUCCUGGUCGAUUCUCAUGGACGACGACAAAGACAACCGCGAUCCAGCUAGAACGACCGAGUUCACGACUCAGUCCACCUGGCCACUCGACCCGGACAGCGCCUACUUCUUCGCCAGCCACGACGUCAGAGACAACACACUCCUCACCGAAUUCGGCUGGAACUUCCACCCGGAUGGCUCCAGACCCGACGGCUUUUCGGAACUUGACCCGAUCGGAACCCGCGACAUGUCCGAUUUGGCGGCAACUAGUAGCCAGCUUGUUGCGGACUGCUUACGACCCGCCGACAGCAGCAGCAGCAGCACCGCGGCGUUUCGGAACUCCAACCCGGCCCCCUUCGUCGGAUCCGCUUCGACGAACCCGUCUGUUUCGUCGACCUCCAGCGAGGAUCCGCCGGAGAAAUCAACGGGGUCCGUCGGCAAACCACCGCCCGAGAUACCGUAAAAUAUUUUGUAGGAGUAAGGUUAAAAAGAAGGGGCAGAAGAGAAUCCGGCAGCCACGAUUUGCAUUUAUGACAAAAAGUGAAGUUGAUCAUCUUGAGGAUGGCUACCGCUGGCGGAAAUAUGGACAGAAAGCUGUCAAAAACAGUCCCUUUCCAAGGAGCUACUAUCGCUGCACAAAUAGCAAAUGCACAGUGAAGAAAAGGGUUGAACGUUCCUCUGAAGAUCCCACAAUUGUAAUUACGACGUACGAAGGCCAACACUGUCAUCAUACUGUUGCAUUCCCCCGGGGCGGAGUGAUUGCUCAAGAAUCUGGGUUUGCAGGCCACCAUUUGGCUCAGCUGCCUCCAGUCAGCUCACACUUCAUGUAUUAUCCUGCAAUUCAACCCAGAGAACGAGUUAGUCCUGUUAACUUGACAAGAACGACUUCGCACCAAUUAGCAUCCCCACGUGGUGAUGAUGAGGAUGAUGAUGAUCAAGCUGCAGAAGGAGGAUCAUCCCACUGCCUUGAUCCACAGACAACUGCAGUUCCUACAGAUGAAGGGCUUCUUGGGGACAUUGUACCUCCUGGGAUGCGUAAUCGAUGAGAUGGGUAAAACGGUAAUUAUACACCCAUUCACUUGAAUUAUUUAAUUGAAUCGAAUCGAAUCAAUGAAGUGAUCACCUUGCUAGGUAGGUUGCACGCAUUACUAGAAUAUGGAAAGCAAAACCCUAAGUCAUCGAAUGAUGAUGAAGCUAGAAAAAAAGAAAGAAAUGAAAUGAUGAUGAAGCUAGCCUAAGAAACAUAGCAAGUUGAUCUGGAAUAUUGAAACAUUACUUUAGGCGCAUGAACGAAACAAUUUACCUUUUAAAUUCUGGAAUCCAUGGUUGGACUGCCAGGAGAUCGCAAAAAAGAAAAGCAAAAGCGUCGGGUAUAUAUAUAUAUAUGAGUGGUUCUUAAUCUAUGUGACCCGAUUUUGACUAUAAUAUCUUUCCUUUUUGAUGUGAAAAUGUAACUGUAUCUAUAUAUGCACCACCACUAUCAACAUCAUGUACUUGUCAUUGGCUACAAACUUAUCUGCUACGCUUGGGAUCUAGUGCUAGCUAGUUCACUAUAUAUCUUAUCUUUGAUCAUUACAAUUUACAUGCCCCCGUACUUUAAUUAUCAUCCUUCCACACCACAUCUAUUAUUCAGCUUUCUCCUCUCCUCUCUCCUCUCCUCUUUCAAGUUUCUUUCAUUCAACCAAAACAAAGCCAGCAGCUCUAGCUAAAUCCAUAAUGCUUUAUUAUAUCUUUUUCUUAUUCAACCUCUGCUGUGGUAUUCUUGGAAGCCUUCUAUGUUAUUUCAGCCUCGUCCGCCAAAUUUCAUUUCUUCAAAUACUUUUUUGCAAGGAGGUGGCGCACUAACUAAGAAUAUAUAUACACACACACCGGGAACAUUUGGGAUGAGCCAAAAACUUUUUAAAAAGCAUUGAUCUUAUUCAAGCUUGGUCAACGUCGCCAUAUAUAUAUAUAUAUGCAUGCAUGCAUAUGCGGGUAGCAGCUGCAGUGCAGUAUCUUCAGCUUUAUAGUAUUAUCAGGAGCAUGCGCAUCUUCCAAAAUCCAACAGAGCCAAAUAUAUAUAUCUUUAUAUCGGAGGAGAUGACUGUGGUCUGGUCCAUGACCUCUAGCUUUGCAUGUGACUGAUCUGAGCACCAUGAGACUCUUAAUCCCUAUUGUUGUGUAUAUAAUUUAAAUUAAUUAAACAUCCCAAUUAUUCAUGCACAAUCAUGUAGGUAGUCCACCGUUUAAUUACGAUAUUUAAUUAUAAACUCAGAUCUGAUCUUAUAUAUUCAGUCUAAUUCACUUUUGGAUGAUUAAA